AUAUUACAAACAACGAUGCUAAAUGUGCAUUUAUUUCUUUUCUUCAGUUUUCGCGCAGGAUUCGUCGUGGUAUUUUAUACAUUUUUACGAGCCGGUUGAUUACAUUAAUGAACAAUACAUUGCGGCAUUAAUUGACUAAUUAAAUGUGAAAAUUGUGCAGUAAACAUCUGAUGAUGCUGACCUUACCAAUUACUAGAGCAAGUUAUUAAUUAAUUAAUUCAAUAAUGAACUAGGAUUGGAAGUGAGUUCAGAUUCAUUCUAUUUCAAGUUGGAGGAGAUCUCAAGAAUAAAAACAUAAGAUAAUGUAACGUAAAACUCGUGAAGUGAGGAACUUCCUUGUAAAAGAAUUCUUG